UACCUUCUGAUCCGCUUGAUAC
rnacentral:siRNA from 1 species